AGCUCUGCGCGCGCCGCGACUUUCCAUUGGCUCUCUGGGCCGUGGCCUAGAAUGAGCCCACCGAUUGGCCGCAGUUGGGGCCGCGCUGCCUUGUGAGGUAGAAGCCGGGGGCGGGGUAAGUACCUCCUUCCUUCCGGUCCGGAGAGCAGAGAGCAGGAAGCGGGCGGAAGCAGGUGGCUCUCGCGUUGAUUUACUCGGAGCCCCGCCUGGCUCAAACGGGGGUGUUUCUUAAAGGGCAAGGCGUGUGGGUCGUCGUGUUUUCUGUCCCACCUUCUUGAAUAGAAUGGAUAUCUGAGGGUCUGCGACCCGCCUUUACGCUCGAGCCGGGACGCGCGAUUUAAAUUGUGUCUGAGAAAUCUCAAAGAAGCGCCUCGCACUUUGUUGCUUCAUAGCUAACGAAGCGCUCGGGCCUGCGUGCGUCACGGCUGCGCGGACCAGUGUUCAGACGCUCGGCCAGGGUAUCCGGAUUAGGAAACUUCUCCUGGGUAGUCUGGCACCCCGACACCCGCAGGGGCAAAAGAGGCACGUCCCUUCCCGCCCCAGGGUUGAGGGGUUCUCUUUGGACCUGGAACUUUAGUGGGGGGGAGGUGUGGAGAAAGCAGAGGCUGCCCGAGGUUGGAGACCUGAAUUAUCUGAUGCCAUGAAUGGUUUGGUCUGAGCUGUUGAGAGUGGAGGUGGGGAGGUGUUGAAGCAACGUGGGCAGCUGUCUUUUUGAGUUAGGAGUUGUAGUUGGCUACUUUAUGUCUCCACCUCAGCUGGAGUCAUUCAAAUGUUUGGGCCUAAACUGUGCUAGACCCGGUUUUCAGCAGGAGAACCAAACAAAUCACAGUGCCUACCUUCGUGGAGCUCUUAGUUUAGUUGGAUUUUUAGCCGUUUGUGAAAAAAAAAUUGCACAAAUACAUAAGUACUUCAAAAUGGUGUGAGAGUGCAAUGAAUGAGGAGUGAGUGAAAACUCUAGAAUGAGACCCAAAGGGUGAACAGGAGUUUGUCAGGAGGGAGCAUAACACAUUUGAGGAACUGCAAAAGCUGGUGUGCUGGAGCAAGAAUCCUCGUUCUAGGGAGUACUCACUAACUGGAGUAGGUCUUCCCAUAACAUGAAAGAAUAAUUAGCAGAGUUAGAUUGAGCCAUGCCAUUGGACCGCCUGGGGAGGAGCAACGAGGUCCUCGCACACUCUGCAUUUCACAACGAACAAUCGUCCUUCUACUCAAGACCCAAACUGUCUAAUCGUCUCAAAAGGACUAAUCAGGACCACUGCCCGGUACUCGAUGAGAUAAAACUCUAGGCUCCCAAGGAGUGUGACUCAGCAGGGCCUGAGACAGGAACGCAAAACCCUGAAUGAGGCCUUGAACCGGCAGCACUGAAUACUAAACGUAUGUUAUUUUCCGUCUCUCCCCGUCUCUCCCCGAGGAUUCUGACCCCAAAGGCCGCGGCCUGCCGCACUGAGUCCCAAGGCCGUGAGCCCCUCGGGGAAGGCCCG